rnacentral:rRNA from 1 species
AGUGAACGCUGGCGGUAGGCCUAACACAUGCAAGUCGAACGGCAGCACAGUAAGUGCUUGCUCUUACGCGUGGACUGUGGUGGACGGGUGAGGAAUAACUCGGAAUUUACUUUUUCGUGGGGGGUAACGUAGGGAAACUUACGCUAAUACAGUAUCCGACCUACGGGUGGAUGCAGGGUGUCUUCGGACAUUGUGUGCUUGAACGAGCCGAUGUCGGCUUAGCAUGUGGGCGGGGUAAAGGCAUACCAAGGCGACGAUCCGUAGCUGGUCUGAGAGGAUGAGCAGCCACACUGGAACUGGGACAGGGUCCAGACCCCUACGGGAGCCAGAGGUGGGAAAGAUUGGACAAGGAGCGCAAGCCGGAUCCAGCCAUACCGCGUGGGUGAAGAAGGCCUUCGGGUUGGAAAGCCAUUUUGUUGGGAAAGAAAAGCAGCAGGUUAAGACCCCGCUGUUCUGACGGUACCCAAAGAAUAAGCACCGGCUAACUACGUG